CAAGAAAGAAGUGGUGGUACCUGAUGUGGAGGAGCUCGUGACCCGGGGCAAACAACACACGGUGUUCUGCGUGGUCUCAGGUGCACAGUGUGUUGUCACGCCAUGUUCCUUAGGGCAGUGGCAUACACUCCAAGGCCAGGCUUGCCUCCCAC